CCUACGGGUGACAGCAGUGGGGAAUAUUGCACAAUGGGGGAAACCCUGAUGCAGCAACGCCGCGUUAGUGCAGAAGUAUUUCGGUAUGUAACGCUCUAUCAGCAGGGAAGAAGGCAGCCGGUACCUGACUAAGAAGCUCCGGCUAACUACGUGCCAGCAGCCGCGGUACUACGUAGGGGGCGAGCAUUCUCCGGAUUUACUGGGUGUAAAGGGGGCGUAGACGGUUAAUCAAGUCUGAAGGGAAAGCCCGCGGCUCAACUGCGGAACGGCGUUUGAAACUGAGUAACUAGAGUGCUGGAGGGGCAGGAGGAAUUCCUGGUGUAGCGGUGAAAUGCGUAGAUAUCAGGAGGAACACCGGUGGCGAAGGCGGCCUGCUGGACAGUAACUGACGUUGAGGCUCGAAAGCGUGGGGAGCAAACAGGAUUAGAUACCCUUGUAGUC
rnacentral:rRNA from 1 species